AUUGAACGCUGGCGGCAGGCCUAACACAUGCAAGUCGAGCGAGUGGCGGACGGGUGAGUAAUGUCUGGGGAACUGCCCGAUGGAGGGGGAUAACUACUGGAAACGGUAGCUAAUACCGCAUACUAUCGGAUGUGCCCAGAUGGGAUUAGCUUGUUGGUGGGGUAAAGGCUCACCUAGGCGACGAUCUCUAGCUGGUCUGAGAGGAUGACCAGCCACACUGUAACUGAGACACGGCCCAGACUCCUACGGGAGGCAGCAGUGGGGAAUAUUGCACAAUGGGCGCAAGCCUGAUGCAGCCAUGCCGCGUGUAUGAAGAAGGCCUUAGGGUUGUAAAGUACUUUCAGCGGGGAGGCGUUACCCGCAGAAGAAGCACCGGCUAACUCCGUGCCAGCCGCCGCGGUAAUAC
rnacentral:rRNA from 1 species